GAGGUCCUACGGGGGGCAGCAGUAGGGAAUUUUCGUCAAUGGGCGCAAGCCUGAACGAGCAAUGCCGCGUGAACGAGGAAGGUCUUCGGAUCGUAAAGUUCUGUUGAAGGGGAAAAAGAGCGGAGAGAGGAAAUGGUCUCCGAUUGAUAUUACCCUUCGAGGAAGUCACGGCUAACUACGUGCCAGCAGCCGCGGUAAUACGUAGGUGGCAAGCGUUAUCCGGAAUUACUGGGUGUAAAGGGUGUGUAGGCGGGGUUUCAAGU
rnacentral:rRNA from 1 species